UGGAGGAUGAGCUGACCAAGGGAAAGCGAGUGAGGGUUCGGAAGGUCAAGGAGUCGAGCCCCACCUCCGUAGCUGAUCCGUCUUCCGAACGGGAGGAAACCAAGGCCAAAAAUUGGGAGUCCAAUGGAGCCAGCUGAAUCCCCAAACAAAGAUGAGUCUGUUUCAGGGAGUGGCUCAAGGCAAAAAAGGUGGACGACAAAGAGAUAGAGGCAAGAUGUGGAAAGGCUGGACAUAUAUAACUGAAACAAUCAUGGACAUUAACAGACAAAAAACACAAAUCUCCAAAUUGAAUUGAAUUAAUCGCCUGAGAUGUUCUAAUCUAUUUAAUUAACUGUUCUAAUCUGUUUUAUGGUAUGUCUAAUCAGUUCUAAUCUGUUUUAUGGUAUGUCUAAUCAGUUCUAAUUUGU